GUGGGCAGUGAGGGCGGCUGUAGCUGCAGUACUUCUCACUGUGGUGGCCCUGGUCACACGGUGGAGAGUCAGAGUGAAGUCUGCAGACACCAGAAGCGACUCCCCUGUCAGACCGAGUGAGGAGGCAGUGACCUACAGCUCAGUGAGGGACACCGCUGUGGAGGAUCCUGAUCAGAUGUACGUCAAUGAAUGAACCGACAACCAACCAGCCCAAAACUAAUACACCAACAAACCACGAACCAAGAAGUCAUGUGGUAAUAAUAGUUAAAUGGAAGUAGUGGUUUGU